rnacentral:rRNA from 1 species
GACGAACGCUGGCGGCGUGCUUAACACAUGCAAGUCGAACGAAGAGCGAUGGAAGCUUGCUUCUAUCAAUCUUAGUGGCGAACGGGUGAGUAACGCGUAAUCAACCUGCCCUUCAGAGGGGGACAACAGUUGGAAACGACUGCUAAUACCGCAUACGAUCUAUUCUCGGCAUCGAGGAUAGAUGAAAGGUGGCCUCUACAUGUAAGCUAUCACUGAAGGAGGGGAUUGCGUCUGAUUAGCUAGUUGGAGGGGUAACGGCCCACCAAGGCGAUGAUCAGUAGCCGGUCUGAGAGGAUGAACGGCCACAUUGGGACUGAGACACGGCCCAGACUCCUACGGGAGGCAGCAGUGGGGAAUCUUCCGCAAUGGACGAAAGUCUGACGGAGCAACGCCGCGUGAGCGAUGACGGCCUUCGGGUUGUAGAGCUCUGUUAAUCGGGACGAAAGGCCUUCUUGCGAAUAGUGAGAAGGAUUGACGGUACCGGAAUAGAAAGCCACGGCUAACUACGUG